UGUUUCUUGCUUUUGAGGAUGAUUGGGAACUACGUUAUUUUAGCCAUUUACUUUCAUUUUGGAAACACCCAACAACAUGUUAUUUUUAUUGCGGUAGCACCUAGGAUCCCCAUUCAGGCCAGGACCCCCAUUGUGCCAGGCACUGUACAAAUGUGGAAAAAAGGACUGUCCCUGCCUCAAGAAAUUCACAAUCUCUGUGUUUUAUUCAUUAAAUCUUCAUGUCUUUCUCUUAAGGGUAGAGUCUUGCAAAUCUGGAUAUCUACUUUAUAUCGGCAGGGGUUUUUUUCUGUGGGAUAUCCACAGCUCAUUUUUGUGGCUGUGGAUACAAAUUUUGUAUCCAUGCAGGGCUCUACUUAAGGGGCCUCAUCCUGAGGGAUGCUGCAUCUUUGCCAGUUUUGCUGAGGUCAGCUGCCAUUGUGGGUGUGCAGUCCCUUGCAAAAGCGGGCCUUGAGCUUGUUCCCACCCUUCAUUUUCAGUCAUUUGUUUUUUCUGUUGCUUUUUUCUAUUAUGUUCCAAUUAUCUUCAAUAGGAAAAUUGCAAAUAAAAUGUUACAUUUAUGCCCCUUUGAGUUCCUGUACAAACCCUCAUUGACAGGUAUGUGUGUUCUGUGUCAAUUGGAGCAUGCUCAAAUACCAUAAAACUAUGAAGGCAAAACCUGCAAGGCAGCAUCUUAACACACAAAACACCAAAUAGGCUCUUUAAAAGUGAUCUGCACAAGUGUUUUUUUAACGAGUUUAUGGCUAUGUUAGCUUGUUUAUUGCAUAUAAAAGACCAUUUAUUUUUCUCAUUGCUGUUUUUUCUGCUUCUAUGAGGGAUGUACAGUCUGGUGAUCCCUACUUUUGCUGGAAGACAUGUUGGGAGUAUCAAUGUGUAUCUACACAGCAGCAGCUGUAAUUUCCACUUCAGGGAAACAAAACAGCAGUUUGGAGACGCAAAGGCAAGGCGCUUCCGGCUGCCCCAAGUUCUGUGAAAGCAGAACACCAAUAAAUGUGCUGGUGUCUGCAGAUGGGGCUGGCGAUAGUUGCAGUCUCGGCUGUCAUUAAAGGGCCAUAAAGACGUGGUGUUUGGGAAGGAAGUCUCAUUGCAGCGUAUUGAGAAGUACACAGAACCUUUCAUCCCAAAGGCAACCCAGGACCUAAACCACAAAAACAGUACCAGCAUGUAUUGCAGAGGACAGCAGACAUCAGCUGUGAACACUUUUGGUUAGUUAAAAACCUCAGCUUUCCAAAGAAGGAAUUUGGUUAGAAAAAUUUCAACCAGCCCUGAUUACUCAUUUUUUAAAAGAGUCCAGUAGUUCUUGGGCUAGAUGGGAGUGAACUCUCUAACAUUGUCAUCCUUAUGAAUAUAAAUAUUUCCCCCCCAAAACAACGAGGAGUCCUGUGGCACCUUAGAGACUAACAGAUUUAUUAAGGCAUCAGCUUUCAUGGAUAAAACCAUCUGAUUAAAUGGAUUUUACCCAUGAAAAUUGAUGCCCUAAAAAAUCUGUUAGUCUCUAAGGCCAGGUCUACACUAGAUCUGGAAAGCUGAGUUAAGGUACACAAUUCCAGCUAUGGAAAAUAUGUAGCUGGAGCCGGACUGCCUUAAGCUGAGGUUUGCACUGUCUUUACAGAGGGAGGUCUAUGGGAGCAAACACUCCAGUCAACUUCUCUUACUCCUGAAGUCUGGGAGGCGUAUGGCCCCCUCAGCGUUCAAUUCAGCGGGUCUUAAUUAGAUUCACUAAAUUGAGCACCAGAAGAUCGGUCUCCAGCGCGGCAAGUGAAGACGUGACUUAAAGACCUACAGGACUCCUUGUUUUUGCAGAUACAGACUGACACGGCUGCCCCUCUAAGAUUUUGUUUUCCCAAUAUGUUGCAAUGACGCAGACUGUGUUUCAACAUAAAGUAUGCGAAUGCAUCUGUCAAUGCAAACAUGUUCAGGUUUGUAAAAUUGUGUAACAAAGCAAGUAUUACUACUAUGCUUGUAAAAUAAUAUUAUACAUAUAAUCUGGUUUUCAUAGAUCCUUUGACAUGCCUUUGGUUUAUUGUGUGAAUAAUAACAUUCUUAACAGUUAAAAAUAAUCACUGAAAGCUGUCUUCCUGUUGGAAGAGAAGUGGGAGGACGGGAACAAACAAUCCAUUACUAAAACUAAGAUACUGACAGAAGUUAAAAGGGUUGAGUUCACUUUCAUCUUAACACACGUUGGAAGCGUCACGAUGGUUGAACUGAUUUCUUUGUUGGAAAUUACCUGGAAAUUUUCAUAUGUAAAUAUGACAGCUAUAUGCCGCAGGUUUAUCUGAGCCAUUUAGUAAGUGAGGUCAGUUCAGAGUGAUUUGUCAAGAGAAUGAAACUGAUAAAUAGUCCUACAAUAGAAGACUUUGUUUCUCUAAUAGCCAGGUUCCUUUGAAACAAGAAAUGUUAUAGUCUUACAGUUGCUGUGAUGUAGCAACUUAGUACAACAAUCUACUCAUCACCAUUUGAAAUGUGAUGACUGAAUUGUGCUUUCCAGAUUGUUUCUUGUGCAGAUUACAUGUUAUUAGUCUUGCCAAAAUUCAUUUUUUCCCAAUUUUAAUCAACAUAAAUGUUCACAGGUGUGGGGAAUGAUAGGGGUUCAGAUGAUAAAGUCAGACAUUAAUUAAUGACAAUAAAUAUUUAGCUGUUAUAAAAUUUAACGUUUUAAUCUAACACAGAUUGUCCACAUCACAUGUCAAGACAUACAAAGUAAAUAGCCUUAAUUCCAACUCUAAUAAGCUCUCAAAAGUCGACCUUUACCAAUAAAAAUCUAAUCCUUUGAAGGCAUGCUAUUAUAGACCUGAUUUACCACAGCAUACUCCUAUUUCAAACUGGAGUAACUCCAUUUAAAUCUGGCCCCAAAUUUGGAUUACUGUUUCUAAUCAACUGUAAUACAUAGGUGUUUAUGAUUAAAAAAAAAAUCAGACAUAAGAGUCUGAAGAAGUUUUUUUUUUCUCCUAAGUUUUCAAUUUUAGAGAGGCAAAAAAAUACAAAUGUUGUGUUUGAUUUAUUUUUCAAUUGUGGGUUUUGUAAAAAAAAGUUUUGAUGGAAAUUUUCAACUAAGUCUGUUAUAUAUAAAGGAGCCAGCUCACCAACAGAUGUAAAUCAGUGUAACUACCUUAAUGGCAAAAGAGGUACACUGAUUUUUCCAGCUCUUCAUCUGGUAUAAAU